UCCCUGGUGGUCCAGUGGUUAGGACUCUGCACUUCCACUGCAGGGGCCCUAGGUUCGAUUCCUGGUUGGGGAA